CUUGAAACCUAUAAGAGGUCCAGCCUGCCCAGUGACUUUGUUCAACGGCCGCGGUAUCCUAACCGUGCGAAGGUAGCGUAAUCACUUGUUCUUUAAAUGAGGACUAGUAUGAAUGGCACCACGAAGGUUAUACUGUCUCCUUUUUCUAAUCAGUGAAACUAAUCUUCCCGUGAAGAAGCGGGAAUAAAAAUAUAAGACGAGAAGACCCUAUGGAGCUUUAAACAAAUAUACAAUUGCCUCCUCUAAUAAAAAAUUCCAGAAAAGACACUUCUAUUUGGGCACUUUGAUAUAAAGUUUUAGGUUGGGGUGACCACGGAGUAAAAAACAACCUCCGCAGUGAAAGGGGCUUUCCCCCUAAACCGAGGGCUACAACCCUAAGAAUCAAUAAAUUGACACUAAUUGACCCAAUUAAUUGAUCAAUGAAC
rnacentral:rRNA from 1 species